AAAAAGAUAAAAAAAAAAUAAAAAGAUAGAAAGAUAGAAGGAUAGAAAGAUAGAAAGAUAAAAAGAUAGGAAGAGAAAAAAAUCAAAAAUAAAAAGAUAUAAAGAUAGAAAGAUAGAAAGAUAAAAUGAUAAAAAGAUAAAAAGAUAGAAAGAUAAAAAAAUUAAAAAGCCAACACAAAAUUGAAGAGAUGGAAAGAUAAAAAGAUAAAAAGAUAAAAAGUCUAAUCGGUUAAGAAUCA
rnacentral:lncRNA from 1 species